rnacentral:rRNA from 1 species
CGGACGGGUGAGUAACGCGUGAGCAACCUGCCUUUCAGAGGGGGAUAACGUUUGGAACGAACGCUAAUACCGCAUGAGACUACGGCAUCGAGUGAUGCAGUGGCCAAAGGAGCAAUCCGCUGAAAGAUGGGCUCGCGUCCGAUUAGAUAGUUGGCGGGGUAACGGCCCACCAAGUCGACGAUCGGUAGCCGGACUGAGAGGUUGAACGGCCACAUUGGGACUGAGACACGGCCCAGACUCCUACGGAAGGCAGCAG